rnacentral:rRNA from 1 species
UACAGAGGGUGCGAGCGUUAAUCGGAAUUACUGGGCGUAAAGCGUGCGUAGACGGUUAUUUAAGUCGGGUGUGAAAGCCCCGGGCUCAACCUGGGAAUUGCAUUCGAGACUGAAUAGCUAGGGUACGGUAGAGGGAAGUGGAAUUUCCGGUGUAGCGGUGAAAUGCGUAGAUAUCGGUAGGAACACCAGUGGCGAAGGCGGUCUCCUGGGGCAUUCUUGACGCUGAGGCGCGAAAGCUGGGGGAGCGAACGGG